GACGAACCGUGCGAACGUUAUUCGGAAUCACUGGGCUUAAAGGGCGCGUAGGCGGGUUCUCAAGUCAGGGGUGAAAUCCCGCGGCUCAACCGUGGAAGUGCCUUUGAUACUGGGGACCUCGAGGGAGGUAGGGGCGUGGCGGAACUUCCGGUGGAGCGGUGAAAUGCGUAGAUAUCGGAAGGAACACCGGUGGCGAAAGCGGCGCGCUGGACCUCUUCUGACGCUGAGGCGCGAAAGCCAGGGGAGCAAACGGGG
rnacentral:rRNA from 1 species